GGGUUGUGAGGUUAAGCGACUAAGCGUACACGGUGGAUGCCCUGGCAGUCAGAGGCGAUGAAGGGCGUGCUAAUCUGCGAUAAGCGCCGGUAAGGUGAUAUGAACCGUUAUAACCGGCGAUACCCGAAUGGGGAAACCCAGUGUGAUUCGUCACACUAUCAUUAACUGAAUCCAUAGGUUAAUGAGGCGAACCGGGGGAACUGAAACAUCUAAGUACCCCGAGGAAAAGAAAUCAACCGAGAUUCCCCCAGUAGCGGCGAGCGAACGGGGAGGAGCCCAGAGCCUGAAUCAGCAUGUGUGUUAGUGGAAGCGUCUGGAAAGGCGCGCGAUACAGGGUGACAGCCCCGUACACAAAAGCGCAUGUGCUGUGAGCUCGAUGAGUAGGGCGGGACACGUGGUAUCCUGUCUGAAUAUGGGGGGACCAUCCUCCAAGGCUAAAUACUCCUGACUGACCGAUAGUGAACCAGUACCGUGAGGGAAAGGCGAAAAGAACCCCGGCGAGGGGAGUGAAAAAGAACCUGAAACCGUGUACGUACAAGCAGUGGGAGCACAGGUUUACCUGUGUGACUGCGUACCUUUUGUAUAAUGGGUCAGCGACUUAUAUUCUGUAGCAAGGUUAACCGAAUAGGGGAGCCGGAGGGAAACCGAGUCUUAAUUGGGCGUUAAGUUGCAGGGUAUAGACCCGAAACCCGGUGAUCUAGCCAUGGGCAGGUUGAAGGUUGGGUAACACUAACUGGAGGACCGAACCGACUAAUGUUGAAAAAUUAGCGGAUGACCUGUGGCUGGGGGUGAAAGGCCAAUCAAACCGGGAGAUAGCUGGUUCUCCCCGAAAGCUAUUUAGGUAGCGCCUCGUGAAUUCAUCUCCGGGGGUAGAGCACUGUUUCGGCUAGGGGGCCAUCCCGGCUUACCAACCCGAUGCAAACUGCGAAUACCGGAGAAUGUUAUCACGGGAGACACACGGCGGGUGCUAACGUCCGUCGUGAAGAGGGAAACAACCCAGACCGCCAGCUAAGGUCCCAAAGUCAUGGUUAAGUGGGAAACGAUGUGGGAAGGCCCAGACAGCCAGGAUGUUGGCUUAGAAGCAGCCAUCAUUUAAAGAAAGCGUAAUAGCUCACUGGUCGAGUCGGCCUGCGCGGAAGAUGUAACGGGGCUAAACCAUGCACCGAAGCUGCGGCAGCGACGCUUAUGCGUUGUUGGGUAGGGGAGCGUUCUGUAAGCCUGCGAAGGUGGCCUGUGAGGGUUGCUGGAGGUAUCAGAAGUGCGAAUGCUGACAUAAGUAACGAUAAAGCGGGUGAAAAGCCCGCUCGCCGGAAGACCAAGGGUUCCUGUCCAACGUUAAUCGGGGCAGGGUGAGUCGACCCCUAAGGCGAGGCCGAAAGGCGUAGUCGAUGGGAAACGGGUUAAUAUUCCCGUACUUGGUGUUACUGCGAAGGGGGGACGGAGAAGGCUAUGUUGGCCGGGCGACGGUUGUCCCGGUUUAAGCGUGUAGGUGUGUGUUCCAGGUAAAUCCGGUUCACUUUAACACUGAGGCGUGACGACGAGGCACUACGGUGCUGAAGCAACAAAUGCCCUGCUUCCAGGAAAAGCCUCUAAGCAUCAGGUAACAUCAAAUCGUACCCCAAACCGACACAGGUGGUCAGGUAGAGAAGACCAAGGCGCUUGAGAGAACUCGGGUGAAGGAACUAGGCAAAAUGGUGCCGUAACUUCGGGAGAAGGCACGCUGACACGUAGGUGAAGUGAUUUACUCAUGGAGCUGAAGUCAGUCGAAGAUACCAGCUGGCUGCAACUGUUUAUUAAAAACACAGCACUGUGCAAACACGAAAGUGGACGUAUACGGUGUGACGCCUGCCCGGUGCCGGAAGGUUAAUUGAUGGGGUCAGCGCAAGCGAAGCUCCUGAUCGAAGCCCCGGUAAACGGCGGCCGUAACUAUAACGGUCCUAAGGUAGCGAAAUUCCUUGUCGGGUAAGUUCCGACCUGCACGAAUGGCGUAAUGAUGGCCAGGCUGUCUCCACCCGAGACUCAGUGAAAUUGAACUCGCUGUGAAGAUGCAGUGUACCCGCGGCAAGACGGAAAGACCCCGUGAACCUUUACUAUAGCUUGACACUGAACAUUGAGCCUUGAUGUGUAGGAUAGGUGGGAGGCUUUGAAGUGUGGACGCCAGUCUGCAUGGAGCCGACCUUGAAAUACCACCCUUUAAUGUUUGAUGUUCUAACGUGGACCCGUUACCCGGGUUGCGGACAGUGUCUGGUGGGUAGUUUGACUGGGGCGGUCUCCUCCUAAAGAGUAACGGAGGAGCACGAAGGUUGGCUAAUCCUGGUCGGACAUCAGGAGGUUAGUGCAAUGGCAUAAGCCAGCUUGACUGCGAGCGUGACGGCGCGAGCAGGUGCGAAAGCAGGUCAUAGUGAUCCGGUGGUUCUGAAUGGAAGGGCCAUCGCUCAACGGAUAAAAGGUACUCCGGGGAUAACAGGCUGAUACCGCCCAAGAGUUCAUAUCGACGGCGGUGUUUGGCACCUCGAUGUCGGCUCAUCACAUCCUGGGGCUGAAGUAGGUCCCAAGGGUAUGGCUGUUCGCCAUUUAAAGUGGUACGCGAGCUGGGUUUAGAACGUCGUGAGACAGUUCGGUCCCUAUCUGCCGUGGGCGCUGGAGAACUGAGGGGGGCUGCUCCUAGUACGAGAGGACCGGAGUGGACGCAUCACUGGUGUUCGGGUUGUCAUGCCAAUGGCACUGCCCGGUAGCUAAAUGCGGAAGAGAUAAGUGCUGAAAGCAUCUAAGCACGAAACUUGCCCCGAGAUGAGUUCUCCCUGAGACUUAGAGUCUCCUGAAGGAACGUUGAAGACGACGACGUUGAUAGGCCGGGUGUGUAAGCGCAGCGAUGCGUUGAGCUAACCGGUACUAAUGAACCGUGAGGCUUAACCUUACAACGCCGAAG
rnacentral:rRNA from 1 species